rnacentral:rRNA from 1 species
AGUGAACGCUGGCGGUAGGCCUAACACAUGCAAGUCGAACGGCAGCACAGUAAGUGCUUGCUCUUACGGGUGGCGAGUGGCGGACGGGUGAGGAAUACAUCGGAAUCUACUUUUUCGUGGGGGAUAACGUAGGGGAACUUACGCUAAUACCGCAUACGACCUACGGGUGAAAGCAGGGGAUCUUCGGACCUUGCGCGAUUGAAUGAGCCGAUGUCGGAUUAGCUAGUUGGCGGGGUAAAGGCCCACCAUGGCGACGAUCCGUAGCUGGUCUGAGAGGAUGGUAAGCGACACUGGAACUGGGACACCGACCAGGCGCCUGAGGGAGGGAGCAGUGGGGAAUAUUGGACAAUAGGGGGAAACCUGGCCCAACCAGACCGAGUGGGUGGAGGAGGCCUUCGGGUUGUAAAGCCCGUUUGUUGGGAAAAAAAAGCAGCAGGUUAAUACCCCGCUGUUCUGACGGUACCCAAAGAAUAAGCACCGGCUAACUUCGUG